GAUGAACGCUAGCGGCAGGCUUAAUACAUGCAAGUCGAGGGGCAGCAGUUUUGUAGCAAUACAGAAGCUGGCGACCGGCAAACGGGUGCGGAACACGUACGCAACCUUCCUUUAACUGGGAGAUAGCCCACCGAAAGGUGGAUUAAUAUCCCAUAAUAUAACUGAAUGGCAUCAUUUAGCUAUUAAAGCUCCGGCGGUUAAAGAUGGGCGUGCGUCUGAUUAGGUAGUUGGCGGGGUAACGGACCACCAAGCCUUCGAUCAGUAGCUGAUGUGAGAGCAUGAUCAGCCACACGGGCACUGAGACACGGGCCCGACUCCUACGGGAGGCAGCAGUAAGGAAUAUUGGUCAAUGGACGCAAGUCUGAACCAGCCAUGCCGCGUGGAGGAUGAAGGCCCUCUGGGUUGUAAACUUCUUUUCUUUGGGACGAAACCCCUGUUUCUACGGGGACUGACGGUACCAGAGGAAUAAGCACCGGCUAACUCCGUGCCAGCCGCCGCAGUAACAC
rnacentral:rRNA from 1 species